CUCUCUAAGCAGCUGGCUUGGGAGAGCUCUGCUCCAGAGGUGUGGGGUUUGUAAAUGGUCCUGGGCAGGGGAAUUCCUGGAGGUUUGUUAUCUCAUGGAGGCAGUGUGGUGGCCUAGCCCUGCUGUCUGGGGAGCUCGUUUGCGUAAUUUUGUUGGGUCCUGGCUAAUAAUGACGUCACUUAAAAACAAUUCAUUUUGCUGGACUGAGAGUGGGCUUCGUUGUCAUGGCAACCUUUGAUUCGGAGACUUGCGGGAAGGAGACAGGCAAUCCCCAGCUGGUGGGAGACCCUUCUGCAUGACCCCAGGACCUAUGGGACACACACAGCACCUUGUGCCCAGCUGCUGAGCACCGUCCCACCCUCGGUGGCAGAGGGAAGGGAUUUAAAUGGAGAGGAAUGGAGUUUAUAUUUAGAGCCGGAGGAUGCUCCUUCAUCAGAUUACGACAGUUUUAAGUAGGUCAGGCUGGAGACCCGAGAUACCCGAGUCCCCUUCAAAGGCAUCCGUCCGUCACUUAUUAUUCCAGGCAUUUCCCUUUCGCUCUGCCUUCCUUUCACAGCCCUUUGUCGCUGCUUCUGGGCUGUGCCAGCCCUUGCAGUGCGUUCCUACACUUGCUCCUUUCAUUGCCUUUCCUGUCCCUGUGUCCCCCUUGGCCCUGGGGCCUGGGACUUCAAUUCAACAAAGAUGAGAAGGGUUUGCAGGGGUCGCAUUGCAAAGCUCUUAACCCCAUCUCUAUUGCUCUCAUUUCCUGAAAAACCUGAAAUCCCCUCUGCUUUGGCACGGGCAGGUCUCACAUGGGAGCACGGCUCUGACCUUUCUGUUCUGGCACCAGAACCAGCAGCGAGCAGCACCCGCUUGUUUUCAUUGAGCCCUUCCCUCUAUCUCAGCCUGUUACAUUUUUCAACUCUCGGUGGGAUUUAUUUUUUUUAAUUUUUUUUUAAACUCAAGGCCUCCUUCGAGCUGAUCACAAGGGAACGCUGAGUGCUUGUUUUUUAAUAUUCUGACAGGUGCUAUUUUGCUAUUUGCUUGUGAUGAUUCAGGACAUUUGCAUCUCUUUGUCCUUAAUUAAAAAGCGCUUCACCCUUGCUGCAGGGAUAUGGCAGAUUUCUCUUGAUCUAUUCAUUUUUGGGGAUUUUUAAUCAACAUAUCCACUCCAUCAGUGCGGGUGCAUUUCUGACAGGGGGGUGAAGCUUAGCGCAGUGUGUGGAGAGCUGUGUGGGUGUAAUUAUGGCUUGCUUUUUUUUUUUUUUUUUUGGUGGAUUUGACUGCUGUUGAAAGGCGUUCUCUAACAGCCUCCUGGAAGGCAGGAGUCCCCUGUCCACCAAACCCAUGGAUGAAGACAAGGGGGAAAUUUGCUGCCAAGCUCCCCCAGGAGCUGAUGGUUUCCCUUCCCAGGUUUCCCAAAGUACCCAUGGCAGGUGAUGAGUAGCUGGCUCUGGAAUCCACCUGUGCUGUAGGGCACUGGCUGUUUGGAAAUACCCAGAGGGGAGGCACCCCAGUACCGCACCCCAUGGGGAGCCUGCCGUGUGCUCCCACACCUACUUCUCCACCCCAUAACCCCACUGCCCAGCCCGGCAUGCUUGGUUCCCAGUGCUGCUUUCCCAUUCCAGCCUCAAAUCGUCUCUCUCACAAAAUAUCAGGCUAAGAAACAAGCCCUGCAAGGCUCCGGCUGCUUUCGCAGUGUUUAUCUGUGCAGCUCAUGCAGGUCAGGGUGUGCGGGCUCGUGGGAACCUUUGAAGAUUAUUUCUCUUCAUUUUUUUUUUGAAGAGACUUCAGUUUCCUCUCAAAUCUUUUAACUUCAC